GAGAAAUUGGAGAAAGUGUUUUUUUCGAUCAACUCUUAGCUUCCCUUACCCUCUUGGAAAUGAGACAAAACAUUACCACAUGAAUCUGAAAGAGCAUCUUGAGCAGCAUUUUCAGGAGUAUCCACUGAACUCGUGCAUGACUGUGUCAUCCAUAGUUGAACACAUUUAGGGGAAGUGUGAGUGGGUGGAAGUGGGUGUAUGUGGUCCAUUCACAGAGGACUCUGCCCAGAUCCGACCGGAGCAGAAUUCCACCAAGGCCAGGAAUUUCUCAGAGGCUUCCUCUCUUCAAAGAGGAAGCUCUAUAGUCACAUUUAAUCACAUUUAUUACUGCCAGCGACCAAUGGCAGAGUUAAAAAUACACCUGUCUAUAAAUACCAUUCAUGGAACAACAGGAACUCAUUAGGGCUCAUAAACACAGAUCUGAAAAAUCAGAUGAACAAUAGACAAAGGGAGCACUCACCUUCAUAGAGAGUGUGAGAGAGUCCACACGGCGGACGACCCUGCCAACACCGCUGACCCACAUUAUGCUUAACUUUAAUAGGGCUGUUCAUAAUUAACCUUUUUAACCGUUAUCUCUGCAUUCCUGGGACGAGGGAACCAUCCGAACAGGUAUUCCCACAGUUAACAGACUGGUCACCAGACGAAGCACCCAGCACGUGGACCUGCUGCUGUCCUGUAUGCUGACGACUGAGGUUCAGAUCUGCUUUUGGUCUCCACCAACCAUCUGGCUCUUCAGCUGACAAUCGAUGGCGCUGUAUGGCCCUCCGGAAGCCUGGUCUCCUUGGUGAUGCGAUGGGUGUCCGCCGGGGUGAGGUGCCAGGUGAAAUACCCCUUAAGACUGCCAACCAGAUACAGCGAGGUUCGACGUCGCUACAGUCCACGCCGACAGAACACUGAAAUCGCCACUCGUGGCCUGAUGGAGCCGGUGCGACAUCCGACACCCUCAGCAUAGCACCUCCACAUUCAUAUUGCGUCCUUGGCAUUUCUUGUCAAAACCUUGGGCAAACAUUACCCACAAUGCAACUCCGACCUCGUAGCCCGCAGCAGAGAAGAGGAGUGGGCUACAGAGUUCUGGUAAGCUCACAUCUUUCUUUGGCUGAGAUUUUUGUUUGCAAAAUGCCUGCAGUGUCAUAUAUUCAGGUUGCUCAUAUUCAGGUUCAUACUUUUAAUUUGGGUUACCACUUGAAAAGGUUUACAUGCUUACUGCCCAUUCCUUCAGCUCCUCUUUUCACCCUCUGUCUAAAACACCUGGAUUUCUUUCAGCCCCCCCCCCCCUGAAUAAAUACCAGUGUGCUGUCAUUGGCCAGCUGGCCCAGUCUGUUGGGAACGGUCAACCGCUUUUAAAAUGUGUAGACUUCACCAGAAAA